GUGAGCCGUGUAAUAGGCGACCAUUUCGCGCGGUUCGGGGGGCACUUGAAUAAGCCGCCGGCACCCGGCUGCAUCUUUACCCCUAU
rnacentral:ncRNA from 1 species